rnacentral:rRNA from 1 species
GAGAGGAACUUGUUCCUCGAGUCGUUGAUUUCACACUGCCGAGAAAAGCCUCUAGCUAGAAUAACGGUGCCCGUACCGCAAACCGACACAGGUAGUCAAGAUGAGAAUUCUAAGGUGAGCGAGCGAACUCUCGUUAAGGAACUCGGCAAAAUGACCCCGUAACUUCGGGAGAAGGGGUGCUCUUUGAGGUUCACGCUUCGAAGAGCCGCAGUGAAUAGGCCCAAGCGACUGUUUAUCAAAAACACAGGUCUCUGCUAAACCGUAAGGUGACGUAUAGGGGCUGACGCCUGCCCGGUGCUGGAAGGUUAAGAGGAGUGGUUAGCGCAAGCGAAGCUACGAAUCGAAGCCCCAGUAAACGGCGGCCGUAACUAUAACGGUCCUAAGGUAGCGAAAUUCCUUGUCGGGUAAGUUCCGACCCGCACGAAAGGCGUAACGAUUUGGGCACUGUCUCAACGAGAGACUCGGUGAAAUCAUAGUACCGGUGAAGAUGCCGGUUACCCGCGACAGGACGGAAAGACCCCGUGGAGCUUUACUGUAGCCUGAUAUUGAAAUUCGGUACAGUUUGUACAGGAUAGGUAGGAGCCUUAGAAGCGUGAGCGCUAGCUUACGUGGAGGCAUUGGUGGGAUACUACCCUAAUUGUAUUGGAUUUCUAACCCGCAGCACUUAUCGUGCUGGGAGACAGUGUCAGGCGGGCAGUUUGACUGGGGCGGUCGCCUCCUAAAGAGUAACGGAGGCGCUCAAAGGUUCCC